rnacentral:rRNA from 1 species
AGAGUUUGAUCAUGGCUCAGAAUCAACGCUGGCGGCGUGCCUAACACAUGCAAGUCGAGCGAGAAAGGGGUAGCAAUACCCUGAGUAAAGCGGCGCACGGGUGAGUAACACGUGGGUAAUCUGCCCUAGAGUGGGGAAUAACACCGGGAAACCGGUGCUAAUACCGCAUACGAUCACGAGGUCUUCGGAUCAUGUGAUGAAAGGAAGCAAUUUCGCUCUUGGAGGAGCCCGCGGCUGAUUAGCUAGUUGGUAAGGUAACGGCUUACCAAGGCAACGAUCAGUAUCCGGUCUGAGAGGACGGUCGGACACACUGGAACUGAGACACGGUCCAGACUCCUACGGGAGGCAGCAGUGGGGAAUUUUUGGCAAUGGGGGAAACCCUGACCAAGCAACGCCGCGUGGGUGAUGAAGUAUCUCGGUACGUAAAACCCUUUCGACGGGGAAGAAAGCCGCAAGGCCUGACGGUACCCGUAGAAGAAGCCCCGGCUAACUCCGUGCCAGCAGCCGCGGUA